rnacentral:rRNA from 1 species
AUGAACGCUGGCGGCGUGCCUAAUACCUGCAAGUCGCGCGAACAGACGAGGAGCUUGCUCCUCUGACGUUAGCGGCGGACGGGUGAGUAACACGUGGAUAACCUACCUAUAAGACUGGGAUAACUUCGGGAAACCGGAGCUAAUACCGGAUAAUAUAUUGAACCGCAUGGUUCAAUAGUGAAAGACGGUUUUGCUGUCACUUAUAGAUGGAUCCGCGCCGCAUUAGCUAGUUGGUAAGGUAACGGCUUACCAAGGCAACGAUGCGUAGCCGACCUGAGGGGGGGAUCGGCCACCCUGGAUCUGAGACCCGGCCCAGCCCCCUGCGGGGGGCCGCAGUAGGGACUCUCCCGAAAUGGGCGAAACCCUGCCGGAGCAACGCCGCGUGGUUGAUGAGGGUUUUCGGCUCGUAAACCUCUUUUUUUAGGGAAGAAAAAAUGUUUAGGUAACUAUGCCCCUCUUGGCGGUACCUAAUCAAAAACCCCCGGCUAACUACGU